CAGUAGACGGUCCCGUCGGGCGAAAGGGAAAGUUUCCCCGAUAAAAAGGGAUUUAAUUAGUGAGUUGCAGUUAAUUAUGGGGUUAACUGGAUUAAUUGGGUAAUGGUAUAUGAUAGCAUGCAUGCAUAAACUCCAUGAGUUAUAUAUUAUUCUUUUCAGCUUUGUACAGGUAUUGUAGUAGUUACAUGAUAUAGUUGGUUACUAUCUAUUCUCGUUCUUGCCUACAUAUGCCUGAGUAAACCUAGUGGGUGAGUCGGCGAGGUCGGCAGCCAAACCCACUGGAAACUUUCAGUAGUUCUCACCCCACUAAUCAUGCAGGUUCUAGCUCGUGCGGGGUGGUUGAGGAUUGUGAUCUGGACAGCGCUCCAUAGAUAGCAGACAUCCAUUGAGUAUAGUGGUAUUUUGUAUAUUUCAUCUGUUUAUAGUUGAUGAAAGAAAAUAUAAAUUAUUCAUUUCAGAGAUGGCAAUGUCAAUUUAAAGAAUGUAUGUAACCAAUGGUAAGCUUUGUAUUUGAUUUAAAGUAAUCAAGGUAUAAUGUAUGAAUGGUUUAGUUAGUUUACUUUCACUUCUUGUGUUGCUUGUCUCGUGCAAGCUAUGUAUACUGGAAGUUUUUCUGGGCAUUUUUUUAUACAUGUUUGAUUAUUGUUGUUGAGCCUUGGGCGAACAGAAGAGGUUCUGUUCGUUCGGCGUCUGUGUGCGGGCCCGAACCGACCAAAUUGGUGGUCACGUGGCGUGACAGAGGCUCACGUUGGUGAGGAUGGGGGUCAGAGGGGGAGGAGAAGGGGAGGAAAGGGUCAAGGGAAGAGGAAGAAGAAGAAGAAGAAGAUGCGGCGAUAAGGAUCGGGGAAUAGUGCAAUUUUUUCUGAAACAGUAUAAUUUUUUUUUGAAAGAGUGUAAUUUUAUUUCAAAGAAUGUAAUAUUUCAUCUCAAAUAGUGCAACAUUCAUGUUAAACAGUGCAAUUUUCUUACAAAAUAGUAUAAUUUUAUUUUAACAGUGUAACCUUCAUCUUUUUCUUUUCUUUU
rnacentral:lncRNA from 1 species